AGUGUACGCUGGCGGUGGGCCUAACACAUGCAAGUCGAACGGCAGCACAGUAAGAGCUUGCUCUUACGGGUGGCGAGUGGCGGACGGGUGAGGAAUACAUCGGAAUCUACUUUUUCGUGGGGGAUAACGUAGGGAAACUUACGCUAAUACCGCAUACGACCUACGGGUGAAAGCAGGGGAUCUUCGGACCUUGCGCGAUUGAAUGAGCCGAUGUCGGAUUAGCUAGUUGGCGGGGUAAAGGCCCACCAAGGCGACGAUCCGUAGCUGGUCUGAGAGGAUGAUCAGCCACACUGGAACUGAGACACGGUCCAGACUCCUACGGGAGGCAGCAGUGGGGAAUAUUGGACAAUGGGCGCGAGCCUGAUCCAGCCAUACCGCGUGGGUGAAGAAGGCCUUCGGGUUGUAAAGCCCUUUUGUUGGGAAAGAAAAGCAGCAGGUUAAUACCCCGCUGUUCUGACGGUACCCAAAGAAUAAGCACCGGCUAACUUCGUG
rnacentral:rRNA from 1 species